rnacentral:rRNA from 1 species
GAUGAACGCUGGCGGCGUGCCUAAUACAUGCAAGUCGAGCGAACGGACGAGAAGCUUGCUUCUCUGAUGUUAGCGGCGGACGGGUGAGUAACACGUGGAUAACCUACCUAUAAGACUGGGAUAACUUCGGGAAACCGGAGCUAAUACCGGAUAAUAUUUUGAACCGCAUGGUUCAAAAGUGAAAGACGGUCUUGCUGUCACUUAUAGAUGGAUCCGCGCUGCAUUAGCUAGUUGGUAAGGUAACGGCUUACCAAGGCAACGAUGCAUAGCCGACCUGAGAGGGUGAUCGGCCACACUGGAACUGAGACACGGUCCAGACUCCUACGGGAGGCAGCAGUAGGGAAUCUUCCGCAAUGGGCGAAAGCCUGACGGAGCAACGCCGCGUGAGUGAUGAAGGUCUUCGGAUCGUAAAACUCUGUUAUUAGGGAAGAACAUAUGUGUAAGUAACUGUGCACAUCUUGACGGUACCUAAUCAGAAAGCCACGGCUAACUACGUGCCAGCAGCCGCGGUAAUACGUAGGUGGCAAGCGUUAUCCGGAAUUAUUGGGCGUAAAGCGCGCGUAGGCGGUUUUUUAAGUCUGAUGUGAAAGCCCACGGCUCAACCGUGGAGGGUCAUUGGAAACUGGAAAACUUGAGUGCAGAAGAGGAAAGUGGAAUUCCAUGUGUAGCGGUGAAAUGCGCAGAGAUAUGGAGGAACACCAGUGGCGAAGGCGACUUUCUGGUCUGUAACUGACGCUGAUGUGCGAAAGCGUGGGGAUCAAACAGGAUUAUAUACCCUGGUAGUCCACGCCGUAAACCAUGAGUGCUAAGUGUUAGGGGGUUUCCGCCCCUUACUGCUGCAGCUAACGCAUUAAGCACUCCCCCUGGGGAGUGCGACCGCACGGUUGAAACUCACAGGAAUUGACGGGGACCCGCACACGCGCUGGAGCAUGUGGUUUAUUUCUUAGCACCGCGCAGGACCUUACCACAUCUUGACAUCCUUUGACAACUCUAGAGAUAGAGCCUUCCCCUUCUUCGGACAAAGUGACAAGUGGUGCAUGGUGGUCGUCAGCCCCUGUCGUGAGACGUUGGGUUAAGUACCGCAACCAGCGCAACCCUUCGGCUUAUUUGCCUUCAUUAAUUUGGGCACUCAUAACUUGACUGCCGGCGAGGAACCGGACGAAGGAGGGGAUGACGACAAUAAACCUGCCCCCCUCCGAUUUGCUCUUGACACGUGCUCCCUCGUAACGUACAAACUAUAGCC